AAUCUCACUUGGAUCUAUGAUUUAUCUCUAUCUUUUAUCAGAGAAACAGUAAAGGGCCCUGGACUCAAACUCCCUCUGUGCAAGUCCUGGCUGUGUUUCUUGCUACCGGCGUAAUGUGCUAUUUAAGCAGCAGUGCAUGUCUCCUCACAUUUGAAAAUAUUGAUUGGGUCUUGAAGACAGAAUAACAAGCGCCAGAACUCAAGCAUUUUGCCAGGAGUGGUGCUGCCUCAUCAGUACUUCAGAUCCAGGCAGGGAAACUGUCAGCAGAACUGCUCCAAAGUCUGCUUUGUGAAAUGCACAUAAGCGGUCUCCCAGACCCACUUUCCAUCCUUCUCCUUUCUGAGGAGGAGGUGGUUAGAAAAAAAAGAAGAAGACAACAAAAGAGUAGAUGAGAGAGAUGUGGCAAAAGAAGAGGCAGAAGAGAAGAGGCAAGAGAAGGAUUCUCCCACCCAUUGCUGUCUUUAGAGAUGCAGGCUAUGAGCCAAAAAGCACAGAUAGCUCCGGAAGCUGAGGACAAGCCACACUGCCCACACUCCCGCAACUGCCCAGAACUGAAUUUUGCCAAUUACCUGCAUAAAUCAGAAAAUGGAUGCUCACUAGAGUCUCCAGAAGGGAGCCUGGCUUGCUGACACCUAGAUUUUUGUCUUGUGAGACUGAUCAGAGGAAUUAUCCCAGCACACUUGACUUCUGAAAUUGUGAUAUAUCUAUGCCUGCAGAAACCCAUGACAUGCAGAAACUAUGAGUUAAUAAAUGAAUGUUGUUUUAAGCCA